GAUGAACGCUGGCGGCGUGCCUAAUACAUGCAAGUCGAGCGAACAGACGAGGAGCUUGCUCCUCUGACGUUAGCGGCGGACGGGUGUGUAACACGUGGAUAACCUACCUAUAAGACUGGGAUAACUUCGGGAAACCGGAGCUAAUACCGGAUAAUAUAUUGAACCGCAUGGUUCAAUAGUGAAAGACGGUUUUGCUGUCACUUAUAGAUGGAUCCGCGCCGCAUUAGCUAGUUGGUAAGGUAACGGCUUACCAAGGCAACGAUGCGUAGCCGACCUGAGAAGGUGAUCGGCCACACUGGAACUGAGACACGGUCCAGACUCCUACGGGAGGCAGCAGUAGGGAAUCUUCCGCAAUGGGCGAAAGCCUGACGGAGCAACGCCGCGUGAGUGAUGAGGGUCUUCGGAUCGUAAAACUCUGUUAUUAGGGAAGAACAAAUGUGUAAGUAACUAUGCACGUCUUGACGGUACCUAAUCAGAAAGCCACGGCUAACUACGUG
rnacentral:rRNA from 1 species